rnacentral:rRNA from 1 species
GGAGUUAGCCGGUGCUUCUUCUGUGAGUGAUGUCCUUCCUGCCGGCUAUUAACCCGCAGGCCUUCUUCCUCACUGAAAGUGCUUUACAACCCGAAGGCCUUCUUCACACACGCGGCAUGGCUGGAUCAGGGUUGCCCCCAUUGUCCAAUAUUCCCCACUGCUGCCUCCCGUAGGAGUCUGGGCCGUGUCUCAGUCCCAGUGUGGCUGAUCAUCCUCUCAGACCAGCUACGGAUCGUCGCCUUGGUGAGCCGUUACCUCACCAACCAGCUAAUCCGACAUAGGCUCAUCCGAUAGCGCGAGGCCCGAAGGUCCCCCGCUUUCCCCCGUAUGGCGUAUGCGGUAUUAGCCUGGGUUUCCCCAGGUUAUCCCCCACUACCGGGCAGAUUCCUAUGCAUUACUCACCCGUCCGCCGCUCGCCACCAGGGAGCAAGCUCCCCGUGCUGCCGCUCGACUUGCAUGUGUUAGGCCUGCCGCCAGCGUUCAAUCUGAGCCAUAAUCAAACUCUGA